rnacentral:rRNA from 1 species
CGGGACGGGUGAGUAACACGUAGAGAACCUACCUUACACAGGGGGACAACGGCUGGAAACGGCUGCUAAUACCGCAUAAGCACCCAGUUUCGCAUGAAACAGAGUGAAAAGAGUAAAUCGGUGUAAGAUGGCUCUGCGUCUGAUUAGCUAGUUGGUGGGGUAAAGGCUCACCAAGGCGACGAUCAGUAGCCGGCCUGAGAGGGUGAACGGCCACAUUGGGACUGAGACACGGCCCAGACUCCUACGGGAGGCAGCAG